AUAUGAAUAUGUGGUGAUUGCAGAACAAACAUGAAAUGUGUGCAAGAUAAAUUAUCGAUAACUUGAGAUUUUUCAGUAUAGGGAAGACUUUACUAAAAUUUUAUUAGAAAUAUUCAUAAAUCUUAUAUAUA